rnacentral:rRNA from 1 species
UACGUAGGUGGCAAGCGUUAUCCGGGUUUAUUGGGUGUAAAGGGCGUGUAGGCGGGAGCGCAAGUCAGAUGUGAAAACUCAGGGCUCAACCCUGAGCCUGCAUUUGAAACUGUGUUUCUUGAGUGCUGGAGAGGCAAUCGGAAUUCCGUGUGUAGCGGUGAAAUGCGUAGAUAUACGGAGGAACACCAGUGGCGAAGGCGGAUUGCUGGACAGUAACUGACGCUGAGGCGCGAAAGCGUGGGGAGCAAGCAGG